rnacentral:lncRNA from 1 species
CCCAGCAUUUUGGGAGGCUGAAGUGGAAGGAUCGCUUGAGCCUAGGAGAUCAAACCUAACCUGGGCAACAUAGGGAGACUCUGUCUCUACAGAAAAUUAAACAAAUUUAAGAUGUAUUUUCCAUUUUUUUUUGUGGCAGAAGCAUUGUGUUAAAUUAUGUGUGUGUGUGUGUGUGUGUGUGUGUGUGUGUGUGUGUGUGUGUGUGUUUUGAGACAGAGUCUUGCUCUGUCACCCAGGCUGGAGUGCUGGAGUGCAGUGGCAUGAUCUCAGCUCACUGCAACCUUCGCCUCCUGGGUUCAAGCGAUUCUCCCAUCUCGUCCGCCCGAGUAGCUGGGAUUAUAGGUGUGUGCCACCACGCCCGGCUAAUUUUUGUAUUUUUAGUAGAAACAGGGUUUCACCAUGUUGCCCAGGCUGGUCUCAAACUCUUGACCUCAGGUGAUCUACCCGUCUCAGCUUCCCAAAGUGCUGGAAUUACAGGCGUGAGCCACUGCACCCGGCCUAAA